ensembl:lncRNA
UGCAAAGACUCCACACACAUGAUGGUUAUAUGCUCUCUUCUCACAACAUUUACUCUUGAUCCCAUCAAACAGCCACCAGCGACGUGUGGAUCGGUCUGAAUGAUCUGGGCUUCUCGGGUUUGUUCUCGUGGUCGGAUCAUCAUGAGGUCACGUUCACAUACUGGGCUCCUGGAGAACCCAACAACCACUUGGGCUUCAGUGAGGACUGUGUGGAGAUGUUCCAUCAGGUACUGCAUUUACUGACAGACACAAAACUAAACACAGGAUCACAAAUGUCAUCGUAAUGCUUUGUGUCUUAGACGGGCCGAUGGAACGAUGUCACCUGCACAGAGCUAAACACCUACAUCUGUAAGAUGCCCAAAGGUCACUAUCCUCUGCCCUCCGUGCAGCCCACCAUCUAUGGCUGUCCUCAGGGCUGGGAUGUUUUUGAGUACUCUUGCUAUUGGUUUGAAGAAGCUGCUAGAAGUCGUGAGGAAGCCAAAGCAUUCUGUGAGAGUCGGAGCAGCACUCUGCUGCAUAUCAUGGACUUGUAUGAACAGGCUCACUUCACAGCUCUGAUGAGCCGGUACUCCGGCGACUGGUGGAUCGGGCUGCGGGCGAGAGGAGGGGUGGCGGGUGUUGACUAUUACUGGGACAACGACGCUUUAAUAACUUAUACCAACUGGGGCCGCAACGAGCCAAGUAAUUCAACUGUUUACACUGCAAAUCCUUCUGUCCUAGACAUUACACCUGAGUGCCGUUUAGAACUGCUGGACAAAUGACAUCAUCGUUCAUGAACCAAAUAGAUUUCACUGUAUCUCUAGAUAACCUCGCUGGAUCCUGUGUCACGAUGUCGACCAGCCCGCUGGCAGGAUUCUGGAAUAACAAACAGUGUGAAGAAUCAUUCCCAUUUGUGUGUGAAGCUCCUCGUAAUGGCAUCUCUCCACCGACACGAGCUCCGACACUGCCUCCGGUGACCGGGUGCGAGAGCGGCUGGGGCGGACAGCCUCACUUCAGAAACUGCUACAGGGUGAUCUAAGCUAUGCCUUCUUCUGACUACGCUUACAUGCACACCACAAAGUUCGUUUUUGUUAGGAAGUGGCAUUCACGUGUACCUGCACCUGCACAUACAUGCGUUGCCAUCAGUAAGCAGCUUUAGU